rnacentral:rRNA from 1 species
UACGAACCGUGCGAACGUUGUUCGGAAUCACUGGGCUUAAAGGGCGCGUAGGCGGGCCCGAAAGUCAGGGGUGAAAGCCCCCAGCUCAACUGGGGAAGUGCCUUUGAUACUUCGGGCCUCGAGGGAGGUAGGGCGUGCGGAACUUCCGGUGGAGCGGUGAAAUGCGGUAGAUAUCGGAAGGAACGCCGGUGGCGAAAGCGACGUGCUGGACCCUUCUGACGCUGAGGCGCGAAAGCCAGGGGAGCAACGGG